AUUGAACGCUGGCGGCAGGCCUAACACAUGCAAGUCGAGCGGAUGAAGGGAGCUUGCUCCUGGAUUCAGCGGCGGACGGGUGAGUAAUGCCUAGGAAUCUGCCUGGUAGUGGGGGAUAACGUCCGGAAACGGGCGCUAAUACCGCAUACGUCCUGAGGGAGAAAGUGGGGGAUCUUCGGACCUCACGCUAUCAGAUGAGCCUAGGUCGGAUUAGCCAGUUGGUGGGGUAAAGGCCUACCAAGGCGACGAUCCGUAACUGGUCUGAGAGGAUGAUCAGUCACACUGGAACUGAGACACGGUCCAGACUCCUACGGGAGGCAGCAGUGGGGAAUAUUAGACAAUGGGCGAAAGCCUGAUCCAGCCAUGCCGCGUGUGUGAAGAAGGUCUUCGGAUUGUAAAGCACUUUAAGUUGGGAGGAAGGGCAGUAAGUUAAUACCUUGCUGUUUUGACGUUACCAACAGAAUAAGCACCGGCUAACUUCGUG
rnacentral:rRNA from 1 species